CCCUAGCCCCGAUAGAAACGAAAAUCCUUUUUUGAAAAAAAAGAUUGCAGUGGAUAGCGGGAAAUAGC
rfam:Chryseobacterium sp. IHB B 17019, complete genome.